rnacentral:piRNA from 1 species
AGUUGAUUUCUUGAAAAUAGCCAAUGAGG